UCCCUCCAAAUUCCUUACCCAUCAGAUUUAAACAUUGGUCUGAGUGACUACAAAGGGAGGAAAAGUAAAACUGGGAUUCUUUUGUGCUAUACCAGUUCAUUCGAAAAAAA
rnacentral:snoRNA from 1 species